GAGUUCAGGAAAUUGAAAUCGGACUGUGCUUCGACAGACGAUGAUCAGAAAACAGAAAUCAAGAAAUUGGAAAAGAAAGUUUCUGAUUUGGACGUACCAGUUCGGAGA